GUUCAUUUGUUGCCACCAACCAACAUUGCACAAAUUGUUCCAACAUAUGAAGCACACACGGUUGCCUAGCAUCUGAUUUCAGUUGUCAAAUAACAUGUUCUCUGACAGAUUGUUCACAGGUAGCCUCCUCAUUAACUCGCCUGAGAGUCCCGUGAGAUUUACAGCUUUGACUAUCUAUCUAUUGGGCUGAAGGAAGCGCAGACACUCGGAGUAGUUGGUCCAUGUUUUGUUCCAGUGGUCCACAAACACCCAGGAACCGUUGGCGUCGCACUUCCUUCAUAGAUGUAAGACGGACAGGGAACACUGGUAACCAGCCCAGGGGAGCCGUGGGGCCAACAAAUAAGACCGUCCCAUUCUGGAGGGCACACCUCAUCUACAGCGACAAGAGUACAAUACCUGUGGAGCCUGGAUCAAUGUUGGAGAGAUUCUGGUAGCACUGCAGUUUGAUUUCAUAAAGGAUGUACAUCUGUUCCUGUGCAGAGAGAGGACCAUCAAACCCCAUCUGUGGAGCACAAUAAAAGAAGAUCAAAU